rnacentral:rRNA from 1 species
UACAGAGGUCUCAAGCGUUGUUCGGAUUCAUUGGGCGUAAAGGGUGCGUAGGUGGCCAGGUAAGUCGGAUGUGAAAGCUCGGAGCUCAACUCCGAAAUGGCAUUGGAAACUGCCUGGCUCGAGGGUUGGAGGGGGGACUGGAAUACUUGGUGUAGCAGUGAAAUGCGUAGAUAUCAAGUGGAACACCAGUGGCGAAGGCGAGUCCCUAGACAACUCCUGACACUGAGGCACGAAAGCUAGGGGAGCAAACAGG